rnacentral:lncRNA from 1 species
AGAGGAUGAGACAGCUGCAGCUGAGAUUGGAAGCUGACUGUGCACAGGGUGCACUGUCAUUUCUUCUGCAAAGCACCGUAGUAUUCCUGUUUGAUCUGAGCCUGGGGUCACUGUGUCAGGACUGCCGGUGAAGAAGAGAAAGUAACUCACAAAGAAAAAUGACACGUUCUCCAGGAUCACACAGUCCCAGGGUAUCCAGUGCACACAUCUGAAGAUUCCUCUCCUGCCAGCCCUUAGAGUGAAUCUGUGAAUGUGGCUGUUCUGAGAUUACCACCAUAUCAAGCUUGGGCAUCCUUUCUUACACUCAGCUCUGUUUCUAGCUCAUCUUGCCUCUCACAGUGCAACUAAGAGCAAGCUCCGUACGCUGCUUUCACCGUACCUUAAGGAAACCCUCCACGGCCCUGUCUAUCUUCCUGCUGAAGUUGACUAAGGUCAGCCACAGUGGGGAAUGAGAUCUGCUUCUUCCUCCACUCGUGUGCACCUUAGCUUUGCAGCCCCCCUCCCCUGCUGCCUUCUUUGGGUGCUCGGUAGAAUGCCGACUCCAGUUGACCCCUUGAUCACCGAGACGUCCCCACUCAUAGACUGAUGCUCUGUUUAUCAUAAGGGGUCACUAAAUAUUUGCUAAAUGAGUGGAUGAAAUUAUUUCACCAAGGAUACACUGAAAGACUUAAAUCUCCUUCCACAUUUCCUAAAAAUGUUCUUCUUUUUUGUUAAUGAGAAACUUCUGAAUAAGGAUUCUUAUGAUUUGUUAUAUUUUAUGCUUCUUUUUUAACUUAUGUAUUUAUUUGCUAUGUUGAGGGUUGAACCCAUUGCCUCCAGCUUGCUAGGCAAAUCCUCUUCCAUGGAACAACGUCCCCAUGCCCAAAACUUGCUAUGUUUUAAAGUUGCCAUCUGUCAAGUCAGGGUUUUAAAUGUCUAUGAAGCAAUUGCAUUUAACUCUGCUAUUCAAAGAUAAUAACAGAAUUUAUAGAAAUUUAAUUCUUAGUGUUGGGACACCAACUUAACAUAGGGUGGCAAAUGACUCUUUGCUCUGGCCAGUUGAUGCCUAGCUGAGACAAAAGUAUUAAGGUGUCAGAGGCUCCUCCCGCAUGGGACCCAGAGACUGAGGCUCUGCUAUCUGCUGCAAGCUGUAAGACACUACAUGCUUGCAUUCCCUUCCUUUCUAUCAAGGUACUCACCAUACGCCCAACCUGGCCUUCAAGGAUUCAACCCAGUCCUCCCCUCCCAUGCUUUCAUAGGACUCCCUAGGCACAACAUUUUUCUCAUUGGUGAAGCUUCUCAUAACAAUUUAACAUGUUAAGAUAUGAUUUGUCCUAUGCAUGUUUGGUGUACUGGUCUUCACUGGUUUAUGAGAGAAGGGUCCAUCAUCCUUCUCUCUGAGCUCAGUCUGCCUCCUGCUUUGUAGCACUGAAUGCCCACAGAUGCUCACAACGUACUUUCUUGAAUAAAUAAACAGCUCUGUCAAUGCAGGUAGACAUAACAGAUGGCUGGCGUGUUGGCAUGAGGCAUGAGGCUGCCUGGCCCGUUAGCGAAGCGGGCGAGAGGGGCAGUUCGCAUCUGUUGGAGGGCUAGCAGGGGAAGGCCGCAGAUACGGAGGUAGGCAGGGCUGAGGAAGGCUGUAGAUAUGGAGAUAGGUGGGGCUGGAGAUUGGGGUGGUAUGGGUACAUUGCUGGGAUUCAUAGCAACUCUGCCUCUUGUUUCUCAUCCCAGGCAACUAGAGGUGUUUUUUUCCUAUAUCACAGCUCGGUAUUAAGACCAAAGGAGAAAUGAACUUUGAAGUGGUGGCCCCAUUGUUGUAGAUAGCAAUAUUGUUCUACAUAACUUGUUUGUGGUUCGUGUUGCUCACAUGAACAUUCGGACGCACAUCUGCCACGGACCCGUAAUGAGUUAUAAACUGAGAAACCUGAGCGUCAUACCUUUUCCUAUUCCUCAUAUUUCCAAGGCUGGAGUUCUCAGACUAUUGGACACAGCUGGGCAAUCAAGAGGACUUGAAAAAGAACACUAAUCUAUUUGAUAAGAGCUCCACCCCACGGCCUGACCACCUCCCAAGGGCUCUCCGACGGGUGACAUUUCAUCUCAUGGAAGGAACUCGAACUUUCAGUCACUGUGACUCUUCUGGUUGUUGUCCCCUGGUUUGUUAGACUCUUGUCAUCAGCACCGAGCUUACCGGUGUGACUUUACGAAGUGACAUGCCAUGACUAGACAGAAGCUUCCAGUGAGUGCACGGAUUUUUCUUCUAUAAAAAAUGGAAUAUCUCAAACAGCAAGCAGGUCCUCGGUCCUCAGUGGAAACCAUCAGGGCAAGUGUACAAUGACCUAGGUUCUAACUUCCUCAUUUGCACUGGCUUGUCUUAAAGGGAAAAGCCACAUCCCUGGACUCGCUGAGGUGGUCUGUCAGAUGCGAUAACCUGGCUAGGAGCGGGAAACACAAGUUUCAACUGAAAUCUGCUCCAGAUUUUAAUCAUGGUCAUGGGCCCUUUUCUGGGGCUAUUUCACUACAGAUACCUGUUAAAAUUUAUUCCAGUUUAAGGAAGUUUCUGUAUCUAUAGUCAAGGAAAUUCUGGAAUCUUUCUUAUAAGUGAGUAUCAGUAAUGUCACUUGCAGAACAGGGCUGCCAGGAGCCUCAGCUUCUUGCUCAUUGCUGUCUUCACAGGGCUAAGGUUAAUCCUCAGCCGUGGCCAGCCUUCUAGGUAAUGGCGUUUUUAUAGGAUCUUGAAAGAUGACUCUUUAAAAUUAUUUUAUUUCCUCUAACUUAAGGUACAGUGCUCUUGCCCAGAAGGAAACAGUCAUUUCCUAGGAAAAGGGAAACCACACUUCCUGGGGAUGUGACAGCCUCUUUGUCUACCAGCUACUCCUUUGACUGUAAGGGCAGAAAACGAAAAGCAGGUGCCAUCUGAAGGGAAUGAUCCAGGCUAUGGCUCGCAGUAGGCAGAGCUCAGGCUGAGAAGCAAAGCCCAGGCUGGCUUCCAGCCAGGUGACCCUGUCACUCAUUCCUCUAGGUUUGGAUUUCCCCAUAUGUGCCAAUAAAGGAUCUGCAAAC